rnacentral:rRNA from 1 species
GAAACCGGUGCUAAUACCGCGUAAGACCACGUACUGGGAUGUACGAGGUAAAAGGAUUUAUCCACCUGGGGAUGGGCCUGCGGCCUAUCAGGUAGUUGGUGGGGUAAAGGCCUACCAAGCCAAAGACGGGUAGCCGGUCUGAGAGGAUGAACGGCCACACUGGAACUGAGACACGGUCCAGACUCCUACGGGAGGCAGCAGUGGGGAAUAUUGCGCAAUGGGGGAAACCCUGACGCAGCGACGCCGCGUGGAGGACGAAGGCCUUCGGGUUGUAAACUUCUUUUAUAGGGGAAGAUAGUGACGGUACCCUAUGAAUAAGCCACGGCUAACUCUGUGCCAGCAGCCGCGGUAAGACAGAGGUGGCGAGCGUUGUUCGGAAUUACUGGGCUUAAAGGGCGCGUANGCGGUGGUGUAAGUCUGUGGUGGAAUCUCAGGGCUCAACCUUGAAAUUGCCAUGGAAACUACAUGACUUGAGUCAGUGAGGGGAANGCGGAUUCCUGGUGUAGCAGUGAAAUGCGUAGAUAUCAGGAGGAAAG